GAUGAACGCUGGCGGCGUGCCUAAUACAUGCAAGUCGAGCGAACGGACGAGAAGCUUGCUUUUCUGAUGUUAGCGGCGGACGGGUGGGUAACACGUGGAUAACCUACCUAUAAGACUGGGAUAACUUCGGGAAACCGGAGCUAAUACCGGAUAAUAUUUUGAACCGCAUGGUUCAUAAGUGAAAGACGGUCUUGCUGUCACUUAUAGAUGGAUCCGCGCUGCAUUAGCUAGUUGGUAAGGUAACGGCUUACCAAGGCAACGAUGCAUAGCCGACCUGAGAGGGUGAUCGGCCACACUGGAACUGAGACACGGUCCAGACUCCUACGGGAGGCAGCAGUAGGGAAUCUUCCGCAAUGGGCGAAAGCCUGACGGAGCAACGCCGCGUGAGUGAUGAAGGUCUUCGGAUCGUAAAACUCUGUUAUUAGGGAAGAACAUAUGUGUAAGUAACUGUGCACAUCUUGACGGUACCUAAUCAGAAACCCACGGCUAACUACGUG
rnacentral:rRNA from 1 species